GGGUUUUUGUAUACGAACUCCCUCGUUCAUUCUUCACUGCCUUGUCUACCCCCGCAGCUUUUCCAGGAUCACCGAUGGUUCGUGUCGGGUUUUCAGUAAAUCUCAAAUUGAUAACUUAUGAGGGAACUAUGUCCGGCCUUAUUGUAUGUGGCCCCGGUUAAACCAACAGUUACAGUACCUAAAUGUUUAUAUAUGUUGAUUUGGUGUCGUAUAUAUGAGUUGAAUCUUAAAAUAAAAUUUGGUGCUUUCAUUAGUUCCGUCUGACGUGAUGAAUAGAGAACCAAAAACAAGCCUUCAGGUAUUCGUUUGACUUUGACUUGUGGUUUUGAAUUUUGACUUUGACAUGUUCUUGAAUUCUUUUAUCUACGAAUGAACGUGUGCCGUGCAAAAGCACCUGAUCGAUGCAGUUUGGACCAACGUCUCUAUAACAGACGAGUUUCUUCCCAGGUGAGAGACACAAACUAAACUUGAUCAAAAAAGAUGUAGUUGUGAAGUUACCUAUAUGUGUAUUAUUAUGCCAUGUGGCAAAUAAGUUCGAUCACUUGUCUUUGUGAAUCUAAUCUUCUCUCUGAAUUCACUUGUCAUUUGAGAAUGGGUGAUAUAAUUGUGUAGAUUAUUUGUAUUGAUUUAGAGAUUCAGUUGUUUAGUAUUUUCUUUGUCAUGUUGAAGAUUUAGUAGGUCUUGUAGGUUGUAAUGGCUUUCACAGUCAAUUUUAUAUCAUAUAUAUGGAUUAUGAAUUAUCAUUUUUGGGAUUUCAGCAUGAUGAGUUGUUGGUCUCUGCUUCUAAUGCCAUGAUUGCUGACGGGUCGGUUGGAAAGGGCACCUUUUUUGCCAGGUUUCCAACUGCUGGCGAUGUGAAUCAAAUGUCGGUUGGGGUGGAUUUGGUGUCGGGUCGCCUGAUGUUGACCAAUUUAAUCUUUUUUGGCUACUGAAAGUAGCGAUUUUACCAUAAAAAGUAUUAAAAAAUAAAUUUUUUGUGUGUUUUUUAUUGCUAGAGUCAAUCAUUCGGUCCGGAUAUGGUUUCUGUUAAAUCAGUAGCUACAGUUGUAUACAUGGAUUAUAGAGUCAACUUACGGAUGGUGACUUCCUAUUAAUUUCUUAGUAGCUGAAAAUGGUUAAAUGAUCAGCUAUCAACGCUUAGAUCAAAUGUUCCCAAAAUAAGCAAGGUGGAUGGAUAAAAGUUCAAACCCGGAGCGUUAUCAACAAUGAGCACACUUGAAGCACUUGGUUUGACAUUCGACAAUGGGUCAUCAGUUGUUUUAAUGGUUGUUUAUUUCAAAGUUCAUAUUCUAAGGUGUGUUUCUAUUAAAAAUGUGCAUCUAUUUAUCUUAACUAUAUAUGCACAUGUAAUUAUAAUAAAUUCUAAAUUUGCAUGAUAUUUUAGUCACAUGAUCAUCGAUCUGCGAUGGACUACAAUGAAUUGUGAUGAUCUGAACCAAAUCAUCAUCUGUUUAAUCAUUGUUAUUAUGUUU
rnacentral:lncRNA from 1 species